AGGGUCAUAGUGUCAAUGGUAGCACGACGGUCUCCAAAACCGCAAGUAGGGGUUCAAAUCCUCUUGACCCUGCCA
rnacentral:tRNA from 1 species